rnacentral:misc_RNA from 1 species
GAACGCACAUUGCGCCCCUUGGUAUUCCGGGGGGCAUGCCUGUUCGAGCGUCAUUAUCACCCCUCAAGCUCAGCUUGGUGUUGGGGCCUGCCCGUCACAGGGCAGCCCUUAAAAGCAGUGGCGGUGCCAUCUGGCUCUACGCGUAGUAAUACUUCUCGCGACGGAGUCCCGGUGGUGUCCUGCCAGAACCCCCAUAUUUUUAAUGAUUGACCUCGGAUCAGGUAGGGAUACCCGCUGAACUUAAG